GACGAACGCUGGCGGCGUGCUUAACACAUGCAAGUCGAACGGAAAGGCCCUGCUUUUGUGGGGUGCUCGAGUGGCGAACGGGUGAGUAACACGUGAGUAACCUGCCCUUGACUUUGGGAUAACUUCAGGAAACUGGGGCUAAUACCGGAUAGGAGCUCCUGCUGCAUGGUGGGGGUUGGAAAGUUUCGGCGGUUGGGGAUGGACUCGCGGCUUAUCAGCUUGUUGGUGGGGUAGUGGCUUACCAAGGCUUGGACGGGUAGCCGGCCUGAGAGGGUGACCGGCCACAUUGGGACUGAGAUACGGCCCAGACUCCUACGGGAGGCAGAAGUGGGGAAUAUUGCACAAUGGGCGGAAGCCUGAUGCAGCAGCGCCGCGUGCGGGAUGACGGCCUUCGGGUUGUAAACCGCUUUCGCCUGUGACGAAGCGUGAGUGACGGUACUGGGUAAAGAAGCACCGGCUAACUACGUG
rnacentral:rRNA from 1 species